ensembl:lncRNA
GGGGGGGGGGGGGGCUUGGUUCGUCAAAAACAUGUUCUGAAAAACAAGUUUGAGAGAAAAAAAUUAAAAACAUCCAAUCGAAUGUACCUUGAGAGCCAGCAGAAGCAGGAACGUCUCCACACUGUAGAAGCCUCUGUCCACAAAGUCGCCCAUGAAGAGGUAAUUGGUCUCUGGGACGUCGCCACCCACCUGUAAAUGGGUAAGUAAAUGGGUCAAUGUCAGUGCCACCACCAUUUUAGCAGGUGUAUCGAGCUCGACCCGGCACCACUUUGCCAGGAACACCAAGUAUCGGCACCUCGCCUCAGAAUCAGACGGGGACAUUCUCAAAAACCCCAUUAAGAAAACCCCCUGCUUCCGGAACAAUCCCACUGAAGUAUUUAAAAAGGCCUUAAACUAUAAAAGCGGCCACAAUUAUCAGAUGAGUCUUUUCUAGAGUCCAAAAACACAUCAGAAUUAGCAAAAAAACAUUCUACAUGUCUUAACUCACAUAUUGGCCCAAGUUAAACAGUUAACUUUAAAUUACUUUAGACAGAUUCUGUAAAAACAUUAAAUUCCACGCUCCUCAAGCUCCAUGAAACCAUGACUGACUCAGCAGAGAGGCUGGACAAUGUCAACAGCUCAAAAAAAAAAAUACACUGUCCUACCAGUGCAUAGCAAUGACUGUUGUCGCUCUUCAGCAGGCCAUUAAUGUAUUGCUCACUGCUCAUCGCCGAGGGCGGUGCUACUCGUCUUAUCUCACCCACUAUCACAACAAGAAGAAACUCCAUCGCUACAUUAAAAAAAAGAAAGCAAAAGAGCAAUACAGAAGAAACAACGAGCCAAGAGAUGCACCAACACAACUUGUGCCCAAGAGGCCGUUUGGAGUCAGGAGUCAUUUUAUUGCAAAGUCGGUCCAGGCGCUGGUAUCGUCUCUGAGGGCAACACUAGCAGCCACAACAGCCAACAAGCUGACAUUGUCUUAUGUUCAGGUGGCUGGCAGUCCUUUUUGGCGUCAAAUAAUUGAAUUGGGUUUACUCAACAAAAAAAGAAUUACCGUGAUAAACCUGCAUAUCGCCACAAAAGAUGAAUUCUCGCCCAUACCGCCCGCCGGCAGAAACUACACAAUAAACCCCCUACUGUACAAUGACAGGGAGGCUCCUCAGUACAAAACAAAAUGGCAAACUGAAAGGCUAAACGGCCAAGAGGACCACUCUUUCCUUCUCAACUUUCACAAUAAAAGCCCUGGACAUAUACAAUGCAUAACUGUUAGCCAGAUGGAACUCAAAUUAACUUAGUCAACCUAAGCAAAACAAAGACAUUCUUUUCAUAUCGCUGAAGGUCAAAAGGAACCCAGUUGUUUGUUCGGCUUCUCUUCCGUUCUGUCACUUGUUUGUUUCACCAGCAUUCCGCUGGGUCCUAAGUCCCUCCUUGUUCAGCUUCUUAUCACAGACAAACUUUGCAAUAAAUUGUUUUUCUGUGACGUUUCAAAACCCCUCCAAACAGCACACAGCUCCUCUCUAGGGCACAAGUUGUGUUGGUGCAUCGUUGGUCUCUCGUUGUUCCUCCUGCACUGCUCUAUUCAGUGUUUCCAUGUAGCAAAGAAGUUUCUUCUUGUGGUAGCGGGCGAGCUGUACCCAGCAUGCACUUUGGCAUGUACAAUUACUAGUGUUACAAAUUGUUCAUGUGUCAAACUCUCCUGGUGUUUUACUCUGUUAAAAAGUGUUUGUUGUGGUUUUAUUGAUUGUCGUUAUAACCAUGACUCCAUCUCAACAAACAUAAGACAAGUAGCUCCAACACUCAGCGGUGAAUAAUUCAAUUUGCUGCACCAGUUGUUAGGGCCGGUUGAAACCGGUUUAAACGGUACACCACCCAGCCCAGGAAGAGCGUAGCAAUUGUCAUUAUCUCCACCAGUAUGAAUGGUUUUAAUAAGUAAUACUCACAGGGGAAUUAUUUGUAUUUUUGUGUCAUUUAUACCCUCAUAGUGUGGAUGCGUGUGUAAAAAAAAAAGAAGAAGAAAAAAAAGACUUACUCUGAAAAGCUCUUUCAAGUCAUAGAACUGGCCGUGUAUAUCACCACACACCUGAGGGAACAUCAAACAGGA